rnacentral:lncRNA from 1 species
AGGUUGCCCAAACCUGGAGUGCUCAGAAAAUAAUGAUUAAUCAUCAGCCACCAAAAGUCUCUGAGGAUCACACCAUUAUGAUUUCUGGACAACUUUGCACCCCAUGAUAGAAAACACAUAAACUUUGACUCUCGCAGUUAAGAGCACGCAUUAUCACAAUUCUCAGAUUUAUCUAUAUUUUAAAAUACAAUUUUAGUUAUUACAUUUCCAUUGCUAUAGAAUACUUGAUUAUAUGAAUAUACAAUAUUCUGUCCGUCAUUAUUCUUCAGCAUUUCAUAUAAAAUUUGUGCCUUUUUAAUAUAUAUUUCAUGGUAAAAUAUAACCUUAUUAUACAAUUAUUUUUAAGUAUGCCAAUACCGUCCAAUUUUUUAGCUCAUUUG